CGCCUCCUCCAUCUCUUUCUCUUCUCUCCGCCUCAACCAAGUACCAAGGCCUCCAUCCUCCUCAAUCUUUCUUCUUCUUCUCUCUAUCGGACAGCAGCAGCACAGCUGCACACCCGCGCCGCCGGACAGCCGCACACCCGCGCCGCCGGACAGACGCACCGCCUCACCGCCGCACCUCUUCCACUGUAACAAACAUUUAGGGUUUAUGCCCCGCAACAGAUCUUUGCGCUGCGCCUCUGCCUCUGCCUCGCCACGACGCCACCGUCCACCAGCCACCAGCCACCAGCUUCCCAGUCUCCUUAUUCACCCUCAACCCGCCUCAGUCGCCGGCCUGUGAGCCCUCUCCGUCUUCAACAGGUUUUUGUUUUUGCCUAAUGUCCCCUAAUUUUGGACUAUUUUUUAUUGCCUUAACUUUUCAUUUGGACUAUUUUAUUGCUUUAACUAUUCUAAGCUGAGCUCAUUUCUGUUAACUUACUGUUUAUUAUGAUUUACAAAAGGCAAAUAUCGCAGACGACAAGAACAUAACAUUUGGUCAAUGUUAUACGACUUGUAUACAUGGAAUUGAUGAAUUUAUGAGUUUUUAAGUUCAUAUAUACUGACCUUUUUUCUAAUAAGCUCCUCAUUAAUUUUUUUUAAGGUUAAAAAAUAGGAUAAUGCUAUCUAAAGACUACUGUUUUCUCUGUGGAGUUUCAUUUCUUGCAUAAUAUCUGUGUGGCUAUUGCCUAUUAAUAAGAAUAUGAUAAACAUAUACUCAUUAGCUCUUUGAGUGUGUGCUAUUUUAACCUUAAGUGCAUACAUGUAGAAGAAAUAGCAUGAAAGCUACCUAUUCGUGUUUUCUUCAGGUUUUAUGCUUUUUUUUGGGUGGGGGGUAAUGGGAAACAUGUCCUCUCCUUAUUGUGGUAGUUUAUGAUCUAAUGGAUAUUUGUUGUAGCCUUUUUUAUUUGGUUCUGCAUUUAUUCCCUACAACUUUGUCUAUUCUCAAGCAUUUAUGGUUGCUGUUUUGCUUCACAAAUGUUGCUUCUACUGUCUAUUUAGUACUCAAACUAGAAGAAAUAAGGAGAGGUGGCCCAGGUGGGUUGAACAAACUCUGUGGUGUUUCUCCUGCAGAAUACUAAAAGAAUUAAGACAGAUGAGGAGACUGAUAGUAGAACUGAUGAAUCUGUCCAAAUAGUUAUAAUAUCUGAAGCACUGGCAAACUUUUUUGGCACCAGUGAAAGGGAAAUGUCUCAAGCAGAGGUCUUAAGGCAGGUCUGGGAAUACAUAAAGGUUAACCAGCUUGAGAUACUAGAUGAUGCUAACUGUUAAUCAUCCAAAUAUUUGGUGGAGAAAAACGUUUUGCUGGCUUCCCCCUCGUAAGACUAACAAUAAGAAGGCCAGUUGUUGGAGAAGCCAUCGAAUGCGGUACAAAGGGCGCUGGAAUAAUAUUGGUAGAAAAGAUUAAGAAUUCCAUGGAAUCAUUAUAUUAUUUAGAGUUGUAAUUAUGUUAUGCUUUCACUAUGAAUAUGAAUACAAUGCUGUUUAUUUUUUUAUUUUUUUAUUUUUUUUUAUUUUAUGUUGAGAAGUUAUCUUCCUCUUUUUUUAGAUUGCCUUUUUUGACUAUUUGACAUGUUUUAGGUCCAUUGUUUACUAUCAUUAGUAAUCUUUAAUUGCUAUAUUCGAUGUACAUUUUAUGUUGAAA